GGGAACGAUAACGGCGUCGAGCGGCGGACGGGUGAGUAAUGCCUAGGAAAUUGCCCUGAUGUGGGGGAUAACCAUUGGAAACGAUGGCUAAUACCGCAUGAUGCCUACGGGCCAAAGAGGGGGACCUUCGGGCCUCUCGCGUCAGGAUAUGCCUAGGUGGGAUUAGCUAGUUGGUGAGGUAAGGGCUCACCAAGGCGACGAUCCCUAGCUGGUCUGAGAGGAUGAUCAGCCACACUGGAACUGAGACACGGUCCAGACUCCUACGGGAGGCAGCAGUGGGGAAUAUUGCACAAUGGGCGCAAGCCUGAUGCAGCCAUGCCGCGUGUAUGAAGAAGGCCUUCGGGUUGUAAAGUACUUUCAGUCGUGAGGAAGGCGGCGUCGUUAAUAGCGGCGUUGUUUGACGUUAGCGACAGAAGAAGCACCGGCUAACUCCGUGCCAGCAGCCGCGGUAAUACGGAGGGUGCGAGCGUUAAUCGGAAUUACUGGGCGUAAAGCGCAUGCAGGUGGUUUGUUAAGUCAGAUGUGAAAGCCCGGGGCUCAACCUCGGAAUAGCAUUUGAA
rnacentral:rRNA from 1 species